GGAGACUGGAAAAAAACCUACAUGCAAACAAUUGCUCUGGGAGUUGUAGCAGUAAAGUCGCUUCUGCCUUUUAUUGCAUAAUUAAAAUACCUCCAUGGAAUAACCUUUUUUUUCUUUUUUUUUUUUUUUAGGUGGAGUCUCGCUCUGUCACCCAGGCUGGAGUGCAAUGGCACGGUCUCAGCUCACUGCAACCUCUGCCUCCCAGAUUCAAGCAAUUCUGCCUCAACCUCCUGAGUAGCUGGGACUACAGGCACGUGUCACCACGCCCAGCUAUUUUUUUUUUUUUUUUUUUUUUUUUGAGACAGAGUCUCCCUCUGUCGCCCAGGCUGGAGUGCAAUGGCGCAAUCUCAGCUCACUGCAAGCUCCGCCUCCCCGGUUCCCGCCAUUCUCUUGCCUCAGCCUCCCGAGUAGCUGGCACUACAGGCGCCUGCCACCCAUGACCGGGUAAUUUUUUUUGUAUUUUUUAGUAGAGACGGGGUUUCACUGUGUUAGCCAGGAUGGUCUCGAUCUCCUGACCUCAUGAUCCGCCCGCCUCGGCCUCCCAAAGUGCUGGGAUUACAGGCGUGAGCCACCAUGCCCGGCCUUAAUAACUUUUUAAAGGAUGUCAAGUUAAUGGAAUGUAUUCUGCUUUAGAAAAUAAAACUCUUAGGUUUUCAAAACUUAGCAGCCCCAGCAUUACCAAGGGCCUGCCUACCGUUUACAGUAUGUGAAUCCUACUUCCUUUUCAUGGUUGUAAGACUGGGAUUUUCUGGGAGCCGACCUGCAGGAGUCCACAGGCCACCCGUUAGGACUGUGCACGCUCCUCCACAAACAUGCCUGUGGGGGGAUCCUUGGCUCUCUCUGCAGGGGUGCGUUGGGUGUGCACCAGCUGGGAAGGAAGGAUCUGUCGGAACUGCAAUCAAAGCCACGGCAGGCCUCCCAGGGUCUUACUGGUGGUGAAAACAACCAGCUUCCUCGUCCCUCCCUCAAGCAUGGCAACCACCGCCCUGAGACUCAAAGAUACCUGGAGGAGUGUGAUCGGGCUGACCUGUUGCUCUUAUCUGGAAUUCUUUGAGGGUGAUGGGAGAUCACUUCUUUUUUUUUUUUUUUUUUUUUUUUGAGACAGGAUCUUGUUUUGUCAACCAGGCUGGAGUGCAGGUUCAGGUGAUUCUUCCGCCUCAGCCUCCCCAAGUAGGCUGAGUAGCUGAGAAAACAGAUGCGCACCACCAUGCCUGGUUAAUUUUUGGAUGUUUUGCAGCCAUGUGGUUUCACCAUGUUGUCCAGUCUGGUCUUGAACUCCUGAGCUCAAGGGAUCCUCCCACCUCGGCCUCCCAAAGCAUUGAGAUUACAGGUAUGAGCCACUGUACCCGGCUACCCAGGAGAUUACUAUUUUUUGGCAUAAAACCAAACAAAACUAUUCAUUAGUUUAUCCACUCAACAUUGAUUUAUUAUUCCUGACUGCAGCCAACAACAUUGUGAAUACUUUCCCUGCCUCAAGCUCUGUUCUAGGUCCUAGAACAUUCAUGACAAUUUGUUUCUCUGCCCUCUGGCAGGUGAGAAAACUUUGUAAGAAGUUUCAAUAGCAAAAAGUAUGAGAAGAUGUACAAUAGAUCUGGGACUAUUUGUAACAAACCCGGUGGAAGAUGUAGGAGCAGAGGUGGAAGGCCUUAAAGAGGGUCCUGCGCAUGCCGGGCGGGCCUCCAACAGAGAAAACACACAACCUGG
rnacentral:lncRNA from 10 species